rnacentral:rRNA from 1 species
GCUGGAAUUGCUAGUAAUGGCAGGUCAGCAUACUGCCGUGAAUACUUCCCGGGCCCUUGUACACACCGCCCGUCACACCAUGAGAGUUGGAAAUACCCGAAGCCUGUGAGCUAACUUAAAGAGGCAGCAGUCGAAGGUAGAGCCAAUGAUUGGGGUGAAGUCGUAACAAGGUAUC